AAAAGGAUACACAUAAUAACCCUGAUGAGUCAAGUCUGAUAUGUUUGCUGGAACGAUUAGAAACGGGAUGUUCCCCUUUCCAUGGUGUUGCCAGGGUGGUGGAAUGGAAGUCUGGAGUGGUUGGAGCUGAUUUUGCCACCAAAGAACAAAAAUAAAAACCAACAUUAAAAAAAAGCAUAAUUUGUGAUGGAGAGAGACAGAAUUCAGUUGGAUGUUUGAAUAUCUGAAUCUAGAAAUGCCCAAGACAAUGGAACUUUUCAAAGGUCCUACUUUCAGAAAAUAUAAAGAAAGCAAGGAAGGCAUGAGGAACAAAUGGAAAGGAUGAUAGAUUAGAACUUUUAACCGAAGCAAGCAGACAGAUUUGAAAUGCCAACGUGAACUGUGAGACAGACCUAGAAUGGGUUACGUGACUGCAACCAACGUAGAAAGACUGCACCAGCAGAAAUGGGGAAGGCUCCCACCAGAUUUCUUCAUGAACUCAAUGUGUGCUUCCUGUAGUUGACCCAUAGGUGUGGGGUGGUGGUGGUGGGGUCAAUCUUAAGCAUCACAAAGAGUGUAAAAUAUCUCAUGUUAAUUUUUAUAUUGGUUACUCAUUUAAA